UCGGGAAUUUUGGGCAAUGGGCGAAAGCCUGACCCAGCAACGCCGCGUGAGGGAUGAAGUAUUUCGGUAUGUAAACCUCGAAAGAAUGGGAAGAAUAAAUGACGGUACCAUUUAUAAGCUCCGGCUAACUACGUGCCAGCAGCCGCGGUAAUACGUAGGUGGCGAGCGUUGUCCGGAUUUACUGGGCGUAAAGGAUGCGUAGGCGGAUAUUUAAGUGAGAUGUGAAAUACUCGAGCUUAACUUGGGUGCUGCAUUUCAAACUGGAUAUCUAGAGUGCGGGAGAGGAGAAUGGAAUUCCUAGUGUAGCGGUGAAAUGCGUAGAGAUUAGGAAGAACACCAGUGGUGAAGGCGAUUCUCUGAACCGUAACUGACGCUGAGGCAUGAAAGCGUGGGUAGCAAACA
rnacentral:rRNA from 1 species